rnacentral:rRNA from 1 species
GAUGAACGCUGGCGGCGUGCCUAAUACAUGCAAGUCGAGCGAAUGGAUUAAGAGCUUGCUCUUAUGAAGUUAGCGGCGGACGGGUGAGUAACACGUGGGUAACCUGCCCAUAAGACUGGGAUAACUCCGGGAAACCGGGGCUAAUACCGGAUAAUAUUUUGAACUGCAUGGUUCAAAAUUGAAAGGCGGCUUCGGCUGUCACUUAUGGAUGGACCCGCGUCGCAUUAGCUAGUUGGUGAGGUAACGGCUCACCAAGGCAACGAUGCGUAGCCGACCGGAGGGGGUGAUCGGCCAAACUGGGACUGAGACACGGCCCAGACUCCUGCGGGAGGCAGCAGUAGGGAAUCUUCCGCAAGGGACGAAAGUCUGACGGAGCAACGCCGCGUGAGUGAUGAAGGCUUUCGGGUCGUAAAACUCUGUUGUUAGGGAAGAACAAGUGCUAGUUGAAUAAGCUGGCACCUUGACGGUACCUAACCAGAAAGCCACGGCUAACUACGUGCCAGCCGCCGCAGUAA